rnacentral:lncRNA from 10 species
GCUUAAAAGAGGCACCACCUGCCCUCCCUGGCCCUCAGAAAUAGGCCUCAGACCAAGUAGGGAAGACAGACAGAGAAUGCCUGUGCACAUAUGCUGUCAAGAAGGGCUCGCGGAUGCCGAGGAAAGCCCAGAGGAGACAGCAGCUGCUUUUGUUUCCUUGGAGGCAGCGCCCAGUAGGGAGUGGGUCAGACAGGAGCCAGGAAGACAAUUACUAGAAAGGCAUUCCCUGGUGUUCUAAUGAGGCAAUUAGAGCCACUGAGUUUGAGACUGUAAGAGCAGGACGGGGCUCUGAAGACCCCCCUCGCCCAACCCCCUCAUUUUACAGAAGAGGCAACUGAGGCCCAGAGAGGGAGAUCCCAGAGUGACAAUGCCAAUUAGGGCUGGGACUGGGACCCAGGUCUCCAGCCACCACAGUGCCCUGCCUCUGCCAGAAUCAAAACCCACCCGCCAGAGGACAUGCACUUGAGAAAAACACUCCGCAGAGUGGAGCUUGCCCAAGCGGAGCUUCUGCUGACAAAAACAGGGGCACAGAAGUCAGCUUGACAUUCUGCCAAGUGUGGCCCCUCCUGUCUCCUCCUCCAUGCCAAGAAGUAGACUUUAAUCAAUAAGUUUCUGAGAGGGGGCAGUGAGGAAGAGAUUGAAGGAGAAAAAGCACAGAUCUUCUCACCGUGCACAAUUUAGAAAUCAUUUCUAUGCACAAAUUCUUGUGCAGGAGUCAUGGAGAUCAAUGACUGAGAGGAACUUCUUUUAAAAGCCAAGAACAAGAAUACCACCCAAAGACAUCUGUUCCUCUCAUCCUUUAGUGAAGUGCAGAUGGAGAUUCCUACAUGGUUUUGUUGUCAUCAAUACCUUCAAGUGUUUCCUUCAGAAAAUCCUUUGGUGGAGAGUUUAAUACAGUAGGGAGGAAGCUUUUAGGCUUUGAGAAAGCGAGUGGCCAUUUUGAAGAGGCCCACAUGGCAAAAUACUGGUGUGGCCUUCAGCCAACAGUAAGCUAGGAGCUGAGGCCCUCAGUCCCAUAGCCCUGAAGACAUGGAGUUCUGUCAAUAAACAAAUGAACUUGGAAGCAGAUCCUUCUCCUGUUGAGUCUUCAGAUGAGACCCAGCCCUUACUGACAGCCUGGAUGGCAGCUCUGUGAGAGAUCCUGAAGCAGAGGACCUAGCAAAGCCAGCAAAGUUUCUGACCCAAAGAAACUGUGAGAUGAUUUGUAUUGUCUCCAGCCACUACGUUGUAGUUAUUUGUUACACAGCAAUGGAUAACAAACACAGGAUGUUAAAGAAGUAUUUUUAUGAGACUUUCAAUAGCUAACAUUAGGAUGUAACUGUCAAAAGAAUUAACCUUGUAAUUCAAAUGUUCAUUGUGGGCUCUCACUCACCAUGGAAGCUCAUGCAAAAAUGCUGGAGAAAUUUAAAAUGUCUUAUGUGACAUCUGGUAGAAGUUUAAAAGUAUAGACAACCAUCAUUAAAAAAAAAACUCAUUGUAACUUUGUUUAAAACCUUGGCCCUAGCAUUCAAAGAUUAAAAUCUAAAAUAGGCUUGGAAUUUGGUCACUUCUUAAGGUCUAUGUCAGAUAUCUCUGUCAAAGCCCACAUAUUGUAAGAGUUGCUAAAGCUACAUACAACACUAUGGUGAGCAUUUCAUGCCUAAGUAUGAGAAUUGUAUUUGAUGCAUAUUAAUUGGUAAAAUCUAUUAGCUAGAUACUUAAUAAGAGAGAAGACUGAAGGAAUUGAGAAACCAGUGAACAGAGAUUGCUAAUUAAGAAAAAAAAAUCUGACUCUUUUAUAGGUUUACAUCUUGUAUUACUACCUAAUUGGCUCACUGUUUUGUUUUGUUUUUAUUUGGCAGUUGAAAGAGCCUGUAGACAUUUUAAAUCUCUUCAGAAUUUAUGAUUCAUUUGGUGAAACAGUAGCUGCUAGACUUGUGGAUGUUAAGAACCAGGAAAAAUGAAAAUUCAAAAACAAAAAUAGGUAGGUGAAUGAAUAGGUGAUUGAAUAUACUGCCACAGACAGUAAAGUUUAUUUUGUCAAGCUAGGACAUUAAACUAAAAAAAAAAAAUCACUGUAUGCUAUCAUCAUUAUUUUAUAGAGAAAGAACAAUUCAACCUCAACAGAAAAAUAAUAAUUUCAAAAUUAAAAAACAUAACUUUAAUUUCAAAAAAGCUUUUUUUUUUUUUUGAGAUGGAGUCUCGCUCUUUCACUCAGGCUGGACUGCAGUGGCGCUAUCUCGGCUCACUGCAAGCUCUGCCUCCCGGGUUCGCGCCAUUCUCCUGCCUCAGCCUCGUGAGUAGCUGGGACUACAGGCACCCACCACCAGGCCUGGCUAAUUUUUUGUAUUUUUAGUAGAGACGGGGUUUCACUGUGUUAGCCAGGAUGGUUU